AUUGAACGCUGGCGGCAGGCCUAACACAUGCAAGUCGAGCGGAUGAGGGGAGCUUGCACCUGGAUUGAGCGGCGGACGGGUGAGUAAUGCCUGGGAAUCUGCCUGGGCGUGGGGGAUAAAGUCCGGAAAAGGGGGCUAAUAACGCAUACGUACUGAGGGAGAAAGUGGGGGAUGUUCGGACCUUUCGGUAUCAGAUGAGCCUAGGUGGGUUUAGGCAGGUGGUGGGGGAAAGGCCUGACAAGGCGAGGAUCCGUAACUGGUCUGAGGGGAUGAUCAGUCACACUGGGACUGGGACACGACACAGACUCUGACGGGAGGCAGCAGUUCGGACUAUUGGACGAUGUGCGGAAGCCUGAUCCAGCCGUGCCGCCUGUGUGAAGAAGGUCUUCGUAUUGUAUAGCACUUUUAGUGUUGAGGAAGGGCAGUAAGUUAAUACCUUCCUGUUUUGACGUUACCAACAGAAUAAGCACCGGCUAACUUCGUG
rnacentral:rRNA from 1 species